rnacentral:lncRNA from 10 species
UUGCUGCCCUUCCUCUUCCCCAGGGCACAGAAACACUCUCCACUGCGGCCAAGGAUUGCAGGAGAGGUGGCAUCAGUGAUUCAAGACUUCUUUUCCUACCUCUUCAGUGUUUCUUUCAGUGAUCUGAAGUUAAAGCCAGGGGGAAUAUCACAGAAGUGAAGUGCAAUUCUCAUCAUGUCAUAUCAAGAGCACACACUAACAAACAACAUGACUUAUUGCUGAAUAUUGAACUUGAUCACCUGGCUGAGGUAGUGUUUGCCAGAUUUCUCUGUAAAGGUGAAUAAACUGACACUGGAACAUUCAGGAACUUCUUCAUGGUCAUGGUCACCCAGCUAGAGUGUGGAAGCCAGGCUGUCUGAUUCCAGGAUCUGUGUUCUUAAUCCUAUACAUAAGGAAGCCAUAAUGAGUCAACCACUAUUUUUAAGAUUCACAGAUGUUCGGGUCCAAUUCACCAGAAUGCCAAGUUAUACAGGGUUGUGGAAUCAAAAACUGCAAUUAGUAAUAAAAUGUGAUGCUAUCUAGAAUGUUUUUCAUACAUAUAUAUGCUUCUUGGGACUCUCCCUGCAGGUUAAGAGAAAUUGAGAAACGAUGGAGAAUUUAAGUGUUUUAGAUCCUACAUACAUUAGACUUAAAAAUAGUAACUAUGUACAUGAGUAUUUGUAAACUUAAGAAUGAACAUAACAUGAACCAUGUGGCACCUAUAAAAUGAAAA